UCCUGGACUUACAGAUGUCACCGCUCACUCGAACGUUCAGCUUCGCAAACUCUGUGCUUCGAGCCUCACUCUGCUUCCUCUCUCACAAAGCUGCCUCCGGCUUCUCUCAGGAUCCUGGUGAUCGGCGCCACCAGUUGUCACGCGAGGGGCCCCUGGGAUGCAAAUCAUGUGGCACCAGGGCUUUCACUAGACUCCUGCUGGCAGCCGUGACACAGCCGCUGAUACCAGACUUUCUCUCCACUGACAACUACUACACAAUACAGGCUUCAACUCUUUUCAGCCACUGAAAACUGAGCAGCACAGGAGCAGAGAAAGUUGUGAGGUUCUCGUAACAUGCCUUCAAGCAAGCGAGUGCCCCUGAAUCCUUGCCUCAGGCUCUGCUUCUUGGGAACUUUCCCUACCUCACCUCAGUCCAUUUAUGUGACGAUGAACACGGCAGGAAAUGAAAUACCAGCACCAACUAAGACUCCGCUGCAGACGGUGUGGUGGAAGGCUGGCUGGCACGGUGGGAGCCUUCCAGGAGCGUGCUGAACUUGGUAUGUGAACUUGGUAUGUACAGACAGCUUCCAUUUCAGAGGAUGAGGUAAGUUUGAAAAUGUUCACUUUGUGGAUUUUUCAAAAUAUUUUUUUUAAGUUUCCGUGAGAUCAUGACCUGAGCCAAAGUCAGAUGCUUAACCAACUGAGCCCCCCAGGCGCCCCCAUUAGUGAAUGUGAUGGCAAAAUUUUGUCUUCAACCACUCCCCUCUCUUCUACUUCAAAAGCUUAUGUUUUAAGCCCUCCCAAAACCCCUCAUAUCUGAGAACAUUUGUAAAACCUUGAAUAAAAAAGCCUAUGCCACUUGUCUCAGCGAUGAAUUGAUAUGAUUUCUGGGAAUGACAAUGAAUCUUGACAUUAGAUUAAUGAAGCCAGACAUUAGUCAGUCAGAAUUGGCAGAGGAAAUAUGCUGUAAAACUGUGAUGCAGCCUAAGACCAAACAGGAUUAAGUUUUGGAUAAGUUGUUAUUUUGUGCUCCCACAGCACCGUUAGUACAAGUGGCAAUUCUCUAAAAUGACCAGAAAUAAUUACCUUAUUGAUAACUGUAGAUUGAUUUGUAAUAAUGAAUACAAGGAAACAGGCUAUGGGUCCAGCAUAAAUUUCACACACUUGUGUUUCCAUCAAGAAUCUUUGAGUCAGUUGAGCCCUCAGCAAUGGCGUGGGAAAUCAAAUUAACUGUGCUGUGGGAUUCUUCAGAUCCCUCCUUUGCCCACACUGCAGUCUGUAGGCAGGUAAAUCGGUGGGCAGUUCUUCACUGCCAGAGAGCAGCCAGCAUACGCCAGACGCAAGUCCCCGGAUGGUUCACCACAUUUAGUCACAUGCAUGUUAUUUAGUUAAUUCUGUAAUGAUGCAAAGUCACAAAAUGUUAAUGGUUUCUUGUUUGCAUAGAGCAGUCUCAUUCAAGGUUUCAAGCUGCUUUCUGAGUACUGAUUAAUUAAACCCAAACCUUCUGUGUCAGAUUAUUCGCUGUUUUCCUUUUGUAAACCCAACUCACUUCACCCAAGCUGAAGUCCUGAUGAUACAGUAAGACCCAAAUGAAACUUGACUCCACACAGAAAUUGCCAGGCAGAGUUCUGUAGGAGACCUUCAGCCAAGGAAGGCCGGGGCACAGGGGCGUUGUGGGCACCCCAGCCCCCAGGAUUUAGAUAGAAGGACUUGAGCAAACCUCCCGUGAUGUUCUACAGCCAGCUCUUCCGAAGGACUUUGGAAAAGGUAAAAAAUUCACAAGCUUGGGACACACAGAAGAAAGCACAGCACUGACAAAUCCCACAUGAAUCUGCUGAGGAGUGAAUGAACCAACUCUUAUCCGCAGUAAGUCUUUGAAGUCAAGGUUCAGACUCCCCAGAAACGCUUCGGUGUGCAAAGCCGACGCCUGCUGUCAGUCACCUUACUAGUGAGUAAGCCCCGCCCACCGCCCCGGUCCUGGUGCGGUGCGCUCCUUUCUGCUCUUCCCUCCCAGCCAGGCUGUCUGGAACCCAGAGCCCAGGGACACGUGGGCUGUGAAGUCCUCACCGGAAGAACUGGGAACUCAGGAACACACUCGAACACACUCGGGGACUUGCCUCGCUGGGACGGAAGAGGAGCAGAGAGCUGACCACUCCGUGUUCCUGAGCUUCUUUGACCCGCCGACCCCGGCGGGCGGCCUCCUGGUCGGCCAGGAUCGCCACGGCGGGCCUCUCUCCUCACACCCGCGUGUUUGGCUCUGUGUCUCAGACCCUCCGGGUUUUGUCGUGUAAGGAUGGUUUGUUUGAUGAAUUAAACCAUGCUGGUGUGUUAAUAAAUGCUAUUGAUGUGAGGCCACUCUCAGGGAGCGGUCUUAAGAUUUUCCAGUGGCUUUUUGAAAAUAACCGACCAUGGUUUAAAGCUGUAAUUCAGAUGAUGGAAUUUUCAGGGGUUUUGGCAGACCUUUGAGCAAAUAGCCUUUGCAUUUUUCAAUUCAUUCUAAUAAAACUCUAUUGAGUAUUAUUUCCA